GACGAACGCUGGCGGCGUGCUUAACACAUGCAAGUCGAGCGGAGCGGCGAACGGGUGAGUAACGCGUGAGUAACUGCCCCCCUCUCUGGGAUAACAGUUGGAAACGGCUGCUAAUACCGGAUAGUGGGGGAUGACUCGCGUCCUAUCAGCUUGUUGGUGGGGUAGUGGCCUACAAAGGCGACGACGGGUAGCCGGCCUGAGAGGGCGACCGGCCACAGUGGGCUGGGAUACGGCCCAAACUCCUACUGGAGGCAGCGGUGGGGACUAGUGCGCAAUGGGGGAAACGCUGAUGCAGCAACGCCGCGUCCGGGAUGUCGGCCUUCGGGGUGUAACCCGCUUUCAGCCAUGACGCGGUAGUGGCAGAAGAAGCACCGGCUAACUACGUGCCAGCAGCCGCGGUAAUUC
rnacentral:rRNA from 1 species